rnacentral:rRNA from 1 species
UACAGAGGCCUCGAGCGUUAGGCGGAAUCACUGGGCUUAAAGCGCGUGUAGGCGGGAUCGUUAAGUACCUUGUGAAAUCCCACGGCUCAACCGUGGAACUGCUGGGGUAUACUGGCGGUCUUGGGCCACUCAGGGGUUGCCGGAACAAACGGUGGAGCGGUGAAAUGCGUAGAUAUCGUUUGGAACGCCGAAGGUGAAGACAGGCAACUGGGGAGUGCGCCGACGCUGAGACGCGAAAGCCAGGGGAGCGAACGGG